rnacentral:rRNA from 1 species
GCCAACGGCCAUACCACGUUGAACACACCGGUUCUCGUCCGAUCACCGAAGUUAAGCAACGUCGGGCGUGGUUAGUACUUGGAUGGGUGACCGCCUGGGAAAACCGCGUGCUGUUGGUACCU